rnacentral:rRNA from 1 species
UACGUAGGGUGCGAGCGUUAAUCGGAAUUACUGGGCGUAAAGCGUGCGCAGGCGGCUUUGCAAGACAGAUGUGAAAUCCCCGGGCUCAACCUGGGAACUGCAUUUGUGACUGCAUGGCUAGAGUACGGUAGAGGGGGAUGGAAUUCCGCGUGUAGCAGUGAAAUGCGUAGAUAUGCGGAGGAACACCGAUGGCGAAGGCAGCCCCCCUGGGCUGACACUGACGCUCAGGCACGAAAGCGUGGGGAGCAAACAGG